GCUGACAGCUAGCUCUCUGCAACUCUCACAGGAUGACCCACUAAAGCUAAGCAGAGCUGCACCCGGUCAGUACCUGGAUGGGAGACACCAUGGGAAAGCUAGGUUGCUACUGGAA
ensembl:rRNA 5S_rRNA 5S ribosomal RNA